GAUGAAGAACGCAGCAAAAUGCGAUAAGUAAUGUGAAUUGCAGAAUUCAGUGAAUCAUCGAAUCUUUGAACGCACAUUGCGCCCGCCAGUAUUCUGGCGGGCAUGCCUGUUCGAGCGUCAUUUCAACCCUCAAGCACAGCUUGGUGUUGGGACUCACGUUAAUUCGCGUUCCCCAAAUUGAUUGGCGGUCACGUCGAGCUUCCAUAGCGUAGUAGUAAAACCCUCGUUACUGGUAAUCGUCGCGGCCACGCCGUUAAACCCCAACUUCUGAAUGUUGACCUCGGAUCAGGUAGGAAUACCCGCUGAACUUAAGCAUAUCAAUAAGCGGAGGA
rnacentral:misc_RNA from 1 species